AAUGCAUGGUGGGGACAUUUCAUAAGUAGUUCUUUGAAUCUCUUCAAAGUUUCAUAAUGGAUUCUCCAUCUAAUAAGGUAAAUAAGGUAAUAUAAUUUUUAAGUUU